UACAGAGGGUGCGAGCGUUGUCCGGAAUUACUGGGCGUAAAGCGUGCGCAGGCGGUUUGCUAAGACAGGUGUGAAAUCCCCGGGCUUAACCUGGGAACUGCAUUGGUGACUGGCAGGCUUUGAGUGUGGCAGAGGGAGGUAGAAUUCCACGUGUAGCAGUGAAAUGCGUAGAGAUGUGGAGGAAUACCGAUGGCGAAGGCAGCCUCCUGGGCCAACACUGACGCUCAUGCACGAAAGCGUGGGGAGCAAACAGG
rnacentral:rRNA from 1 species